GACGAACGCUGGCGGCGUGCUUAACACAUGCAAGUCGAACGGAAAGGCCCUGCUUUUGUGGGGUGCUCGAGUGGCGAACGGGUGAGUAACACGUGAGUAACCUGCCCUGGACUUUGGGAUAACUUCAGGAAACUGGGGCUAAUACGGGAUAGGAGCUCCUGCUGCAUGGUGGGGGUGGGAAAGUUUCGGCGGUUGGGGAUGGACUCGCGGCUUAUCAGCUUGUUGGUGGGGUAGUGGCUUACCAAGGCUUUGACGGGUAGCCGGCCUGAGAGGGUGACCGGCCACAUUGGGACUGAGAUACGGCCCAGACUCCUACGGGAGGCAGCAGUGGGGAAUAUUGCACAAUGGGCGGAAGCCUGAUGCAGCAACGCCGCGUGCGGGAUGACGGCCUUCGGGUUGUAAACCGCUUUCGCCUGUGACGAAGCGUGAGUGACGGUAAUGGGUAAAGAAGCACCGGCUAACUACGUG
rnacentral:rRNA from 1 species